GGUACUGAAUCCCCAGCUGGGUUUAAUCGAUUCGAAUCGCCGUGUUUCCUCGGAUAUGGAGCCUCAAUCCUCACCCCAUCAUCGUAGUAAUAAAUGAUCUUUGGUAAGAGAAAGAGGUGGUAUGCUUAUGAAAGUUUGAUAAUAGUUUUGGUUAGUCAUAAAUGAUGAUCUUGAGUUAAAACUUGAAAGUAGGUUUUACUCUUAGUAAGCUUUUAUGCAAAAGAAAUGCUUUAUCUUGAUAAAGCUUUACCUUGAAUCCCUAUAGCCUGCAUACCUGAGUCUUCACCUCUUUUCUAGUCGGUUAAGUCUUGUUGAGUACUUUUGUACUCAGGGUUUUAUAACCCCUGUUGCAGGUGCUGACUUAGACUGCUAAUGGAGGUCAUGUCGGUGGGCGCGACAUGAUUUAUCCAUCUCUUCUACCUUAGAAGCUUCACCUAAGAUGCUUCCGCUACUCUAUACACCUUUUGGAAAUUUAGUUAAGUUUAUACUUCAUCAUAUGUUGUAAAUUAAGUUAUAAAUCUUCCGCACUCUGAUCUAAGUUAUUUUUGUAACAAAUGUUGUAAUGUUGUGGUAAC
rnacentral:lncRNA from 1 species